rnacentral:tRNA from 1 species
AAAAAGUAUGCAAGAACUGCUAAUUCUAUGCUCCCACGACUAACACCGUGGCUUCUUC